rnacentral:rRNA from 1 species
AGCUAUAUAUUAAAGAGAUUUAUUUAUAUAAAUAGGUUUGCUAGCUGAUUGUGUAUAUACGCAGGCCAAUGCUUCUAAUUUCAUAGCAAGCUCGCUUGCUAUGAAAUAGGCAACCAGUAAUAUAAGCAAGUGUGUGCUAUUUAUAGCGCUAGCCUACAAACCUAUAAUUAUAUUAACUCUAAGAGAAAUUUAAUAAUAAACGAAGUGAAUUGAAAUAUCUUAGUAACUUUAGGAAAAGAAAUCAAAAGAGAUUCUAUGAUUAGCGUGAGCUAAAAUAGACUAGCCUAAAAAGUCAAAUGGUGGAUAAACUGUUUAAAUUAAAUGGGGAACCUUCCUCAAAGGCUAAAUAUAAUAUAUAAGCGAUAGUGGAAAGUACCGUGAGGGAACCAAAACAAAAACAGUGAUUUUAUAAGCAGUUCGGUAAAAUAAAAAAAAAAAGUUAGAACGUACCUUUUGCAUAAUGGGUCACCAAGUUAACAUUAGAUGCGAGUAGGAGGGAGCAGCCCCGUGCAUACGUAGUUAAACCGAGCGUUAAAAUAACGGUAAGUAUCUAAAGUUAGACCCGAAGCCUGGUGAUUUUACCAUAAUCAGGAUUAUAAAAGUCCGAACGGAAUAUUGUAGCAUAAAUAUCCGAAGAAUUAUGGUAGGUGUAGUGAAAGACAAUACUGACCAGGAUAGCUGGUUUUCUGCGAAACCUAUAACAGUAGGCAAUUUAAGUAUAAUAUCUUAGCAGGUACAGAAUUUAAUCUCAGACAAGACAUAAGGCUUAGCUUGUUAGCAAGUAAAGCUCAUGUUUUAUUUUGUACAAAUUGGGGGAUCAUGAAGAUUUUAUCAGUGAGUAUGUAGACUCGGAAUGGCAAAGAUAUAUCUUAAAUCAUCAGACAUAGAAUGAUAAGGUUGUAUGUCAAAAGGGAAACAGCCCAGAACAAGAGUUAAGGUUCCUAAAUUAUUAGUUGAGUGAAAUUAAGAAGGUUUUUAUUAAAGUCGACAAGGAGAUAGGCUUAGAAGCAGCCAUAAUUUUAUGACCUCGUAACAGAGCGCUUGUUAAGUUUUAAAAGCAUCGAAAAUUUAUCGGAUCUAAACAAUAUACCGAAACCUUGUCCAUAUUAUUUUAUAAUUAAAGCUUAAUUAUAAUUAAAUGGGGUAGCAGAACGUUGAGCUAAAUUAAGAUUUUUAUUUUUUAAAUGAAAUUAUAAUAAUUUAACUCAAGUGAUAAUGGUGACAUGAGUAACUAAAAGAAAAAAUAAAAUUUUUCCGCCUAAAGCUUAUGGAUGUAAUUAAGUAACGGCCUCUAAGUUUAUAUUAUCUAAAGAUUUAAACGAUGAGAUAAUCUUUUGUACUAAGGACGAUAUUUUAAGUGAAAAAUGUACUGGAAAAAUAGUACUAAAUUUAUGGCUAUAGCUAAUUAGGGCUAUAAAAAAAAAUUUAUUUUUUUUUUAUAAAGCUCGCUAUAGCUAUAAAUGAAAAGUAACCGUACCUAGAAUCUGAAACAAGUAAGCUAGUAGAGAAUACGAAGGCGUAAAUGAGCUAACAAUCAUAAAGGAACUCGGCAAAUUGACUACCGUAACUUCGGGAUAAGGAGAGCUCAUUAUUCUUGAUUAAUAUCAGGUAAAGAGGAAGAAGCAUGAAAUAGUGUUGUACGACUGUUUAAUUAAAACACAGCACUUUGCUGAAAGAUUAAAAAUCUAAGUAUAGAGUGUGAUGUCUGCCCGGUGCCGGCUGGUUAACAGAUAUAAUUAAAUAUACUAAUAUUUGAUGUAGACGGAAACCCCGGUUAAAGGCGGCCUUAACGUGAGGGUCCUAAGGUAGCGAAAUGCCUUGGCCGUUAAAUGCGGUCUUGCAUGAAUGAUGUAACGAUACAACAGCUGUCUCUAUGAUUGACUCAGUGAAAUUGGAAUAGCUGUGCAGAUACAGUUUACCUCUAGUUAGACGAGAAGACCCUAUGCAGCUUUACUGUCACUAAUUAUAGAGUAUGAUAAACAAUUUUCAGAUUAUAAGGUAAUUGACGGCUAGCUUGUUCAGCAAGCUAGCUCUAUGACAAUGAGAAUCCUUUAUUUUUUUUUCAUAUGAAUGAAUUGGUUUAGGAUUAUGAGUAGGUAGCUGCUUCUGCUACUUGGCGCAAGCAUUGCUUGCGUCAAGUGUCUGAAGUAUGCAUUCCAGCUCAUGCAUAGUAAAUCAACCUAAUUCAGCUUAUUUUCCUUUCUGCCAUAAGCGCAUAAUGAUAGAUUUAACUUAAAUUUUGAUUUAUGCCGAGCCCCUCCGGGGCUACUGCAGAAAUAGAUAAGUACCCUUGGCUAAGGAACUAUCGCUAGGGGACAGUUUAUGUGGGGCACAGACCCUGUAAAGAGUAAACAGGAGUGUCUAAUAAUUUAUAAUUAUUUUGUUUGCGAUUUAAGAUAGUGAAACUAUUUUUAAUCAUAUAAAAUUAUUUAUAUGUACAUUCGUUGUAUAUAUAUUUAAAAAAAGGUAGGAUUUUCACUAUAUAGAAAUUAGAGAUAAUAAAAAUAUUAAGAAUAUACCUUUCAGGUAACACUAAUAUUUUUUAGCUAUUAAGACAGGCUAUCAAGCUAGGCUCUAAUAGUUAUGUAUUAAUUAUCUAAAAAGCUCAACGGCUAAAUCUUGCCUUACUGUUUGAUUAUCAACAAAUCUUACAGUUGCGUAAGCAGGGCAUAGGAUCACAAGAUGCAACAAGGAAAGAUCUUGGAUUAUUGGAAAAGCUACGCUAGGGAUAACAGGCUAAUUUGCGCAAGAGUGUACAAAAUGAGUGCGCGGUUUGGCACCUCGAUGUCGGCUUAACUUAUCCUCAUGGAUGCAGGAACUAUGUAGGGUGCGACUGUUCGUCGAUUAAAAAGUUACAUGAGCUGGGUUAAAUACGUCGUGAGACAGUAUGGUUUCUAUCUUCUAGGGGGAAUUAGAAUAUAAUAAGAACUAACUUUUGUACGAAAGGAACAAGAAGAAUUUAAUUUGUAAAAGGGUUAAAUAAUAGUUACUAACCUAUGGUUUACCUGUUGUCUAUGUGCCCAAAUAUUAAAAUAUAUAUAUGGAGGAAGCUCCUUAAGAGCUUCCCCCGCAAAUUAUAUAUAUCUGUAUAGCUAGCCUGCGGACUCCGGUUAUGCCUGAGUUUGGCAAGCUAAAGCUAUACAUAGGGAUGUUUCUUUCACUAAGAUAAAUAUAUAGCAUAGGCACGGCAGGAAAGCUAAGUUGGUUAAGGAUAAGUGCUGAAAGCAUAUAGGCACGAAGCUUAUCUUAAGAUAUUUCUUAAAUAUACGUAAAAUAUUAUUACGAAGGAUGUAAUAUAGGCUUUAUCCGUACGAAUCAGGAGAUUUUUAAGAAUAAAGUACUAAUUUUAUAAAUAACUAUUUAU